rnacentral:rRNA from 1 species
UACGAAGGGGGCGAGCGUUGUUCGGAAUUACUGGGCGUAAAGGGCGCGUAGGCGACCCCUUUUGUCGCGUGUGAAAGCCCCGGGCUCAACCUGGGAGGUGCGCGCGAAACGGGGGGGCUUGAGUUCGGGAGAGGAGAGUGGAAUUCCCAGUGUAGAGGUGAAAUUCGUAGAUAUUGGGAAGAACACCGGUGGCGAAGGCGGCUCUCUGGACCGAGACUGACGCUGAGGCGCGAAAGCGUGGGGAGCAAACAGG